GGGCCCGCACAAGCGGUGGAGCAUGUGGUUUAAUUCGAUGAUACGCGAGGAACCUUACCAGGGCUUAAAUGUAAGUUGCAUAGAUCAGAGAUGGUCUUUUCUUCGGACUACUUACAAGGUGCUGCAUGGUUGUCGUCAGCUCGUGCCGUGAGGUGUCAGGUUAAGUCCUAUAACGAGCGCAACCCCUGUCGUUAGUUACCAGCAAGUAAUGUUGGGUACUCUAGCGAGACUGCCGGUGCAAACCGUGAGGAAGGUGGGGAUGACGUCAAAUCAUCACGGCCCUUACGUCCUGGCUACACACGUGCUACAAUGGCCGGUACAAUGGGUCGCCACCCAGCGAUGGGGCGCAAA
rnacentral:rRNA from 1 species